GGGGCGACAUGGCUUCGACGUGGGUUGCGAAGCAGGACAGGGCAUACCGAGGGCCAGUGACCUCGUAAAUCCAUCUGGAACGCAUUAACUGCCAACGACGAGCGUUUCGCUCUAGCCGCUUAAUCGCGGCUGGCUUCCGAACUGAUUUGCUCCUGGGUCAGGUAGCGCAAGCUACAUCGGAAUCAUAUACAUGAGAUAAGGAUGGGUCGCGUCGCGAGGCCGUCACGAAAAUCAAGCGAAUCGCCUGAAGCGAGCCUGUUCGGCCGGCGCGUCAGGGUUAAAACCAAAUGACCGGACUAAGUAUGUAGAUCUGCCUGUCUAGGGCUUGCGGACGGGGUUCGAUCCCCCGCCUCCACCA
rnacentral:tmRNA from 1 species